UGUACCCGGCUUGAACUUAAGCAUAUCAAUAAGCGGAGGAAAAGAAACCAACAGGGAUUGCCCUAGUAACGGCGAGUGAAGCGGCAACAGCUCAAAUUUGAAAUCUGGCUCUUUCAGGGUCCGAGUUGUAAUUUGCAGAGGGCGCUUUGGCGUUGGCAGCGGUCCAAGUUCCUUGGAACAGGACGUCACAGAGGGUGAGAAUCCCGUACGUGGUCGCUGGCCUUCGCCGUGUAAAGCCCCUUCGACGAGUCGAGUUGUUUGGGAAUGCAGCUCUAAAUGGGAGGUAAAUUUCUUCUAAAGCUAAAUACUGGCCAGAGACCGAUAGCGCACAAGUAGAGUGAUCGAAAGAUGAAAAGCACUUUGGAAAGAGAGUCAAAUAGCACGUGAAAUUGUUGAAAGGGAAGCGCUUGCAGCCAGACUUGCCUGUAGUUGCUCAUCCGGGCUUUUGCCCGGUGCACUCUUCUGCGGGCAGGCCAGCAUCAGUUUGGGCGGUUGGAUAAAGGUCUCUGUCAUGUACCUCUCUUCGGGGAGGCCUUAUAGGGGAGACGUCAUGCAACCAGCCUGGACUGAGGUCCGCGCAUUUAUGCUAGGAUGCUGGCGUAAUGGCUGUAAGCGGCCCGUCUUGAAACACGGACCAAGGAGUCUAACAUCUAUGCGAGUGUUUGGGUGUCAAGCCCGAACGCGUAAUGAAAGUGAACGGAGGUGGGACCCCAUUAGGGUGCACCAUCGACCGAUCCUGAUGUCUUCGGAUGGAUUUGAGUAAGAGCAUGGCUGUUGGGACCCGAAAGAUGGUGAACUAUGCUUGAAUAGGGUGAAGCCAGAGGAAACUCUGGUGGAGGCUCGCAGCGGUUCUGACGUGCAAAUCGAUCGUCAAAUUUGGGCAUAGGGGCGAAAGACUAAUCGAACUUCUACAGUGCC
rnacentral:rRNA from 1 species